rnacentral:rRNA from 1 species
UGGGGAAUUUUGGACAAUGGGCGAAAGCCUGAUCCAGCAAUGCCGCGUGUGUGAAGAAGGCCUUCGGGUUGUAAAGCACUUUUGUCCGGAAAGAAAUCCUUGGCUCUAAUACAGUCGGGGGAUGACGGUACCGGAAGAAUAAGCACCGGCUAACUACGUGCCAGCAGCCGCGGUAAUACGUAGGGUGCAAGCGUUAAUCGGAAUUACUGGGCGUAAAGCGUGCGCAGGCGGUUUGCUAAGACCGAUGUGAAAUCCCCGGGCUCAACCUGGGAACUGCAUUGGUGACUGGCAGGCUAGAGUAUGGCAGAGGGGGGUAGAAUUCCACGUGUAGCAGUGAAAUGCGUAGAGAUGUGGAGGAAUACCGAUGGCGAAGGCAGCCCCCUGGGGCCAAAUACUGACGCUCAUGCACGAAAAGCGUGGGGGAGCAAAACAGGAUUAGAUACCCUGGUAGUCCACGCCCUAAAACGAUGUCAACUAGUUGUUGGGGAUUCAUUUCCUUAGUAACGUAGCUAACGCGUGAAGUUGACCGCCUGGGGAGUACGGUCGCAAA